CCGCAACUCAGAGCUGACACAGCCAAGCUAGGUGCUGUUUCUGUGUCCACAACCCUCCAGCCACAAGGACCAGACCUACUCACCUGGUGAUCUCCUCUAAGGCUCCCUCGGAGCAGAAGAAGCGCCUGGUGUCUGUCAUCACGGUCAAGAAGUCUUUGAAGUUCACAUGACCAUCUCCUGUGGAGGCCAGAAGAAUACAGAGUGGGCAGGGGCCUUCUAGAGCAGGCUCGGA